GUAGGGUAUAUGGCUGUUGGGGAAGUUUAUGAUAUUUAGUGGGAAAUCAAUUGCCGUCGGAAAUAAUUUUUGGAGGCUUGUAAGGUUUUCUCAAACUUUAGAUUUCUCAAGAUUUUCGAUAUUAUCACUACUUCUCACCUUAUGGGGGGCGAUGAGGACGAAUCUGGUAAUUGAUGGCGCGACAUUUUUCUGUUUUUCCUUACAAUUUGUAUAACUUUAUAUUUUAAAAUAUUCCAAUUGCUACGCUUGCGAUGUCCAAUAAGUCUGAAUGUAUAAUGACAACAUCUCCUGGGAAUUCUGCGUCUUUUAUAGCAUCGCCGGUCCAAUUGGAAAUACCACAGUCUCAUCAACCCCUAAGUAUCCUUGCAACUAUUCGCCUGGAUUCUAGAGGGCGGAGCUUGUCAAGUAGUACAGGGUGAUUUCGCGCAAAAGUGCUGCCAGCGGAGGCUGUGAGAAAAUAUUAAGGCAUAUUUGUUCGUGAAUUAUAAACGGUUUUAAAAAAAA